GAUUUUGCUAUUUCUCUGGUUGCAAUUCUAUGAGUGAAACAAUAGAUAAGUUCAGGCACACAACAAGGAACGGAGCCACAUUGAUAAGUGUCUGGGGAACGGAGGGUGCGACAGGAUACACUGACAAUAUUGGCUUGAAGCAUUCACCAGCCUUCUACAGCAAAAAACAGUGAUACUCUGGGAGCCGGAGAUACGUUUGCGGCUGCCCUUAUACAUAGUCUUAAUGAAGGACAUGAAUUGGACAAAAGUGUAGAAUUUGCUUGUAAGGUGGCUGGAGCAAAGACUGGAAUCAAAGGUUUCUCACAACUGAAGACUGUAUGUCAGGGUAUAUUACAAGACUAUUAAUAAUUCAUAAUUGUG